rnacentral:rRNA from 1 species
UACGUAGGGGGCAAGCGUUGUCCGGAUUUAUUGGGCGUAAAGAGCGUGUAGGCGGCCAGGUAGGUCAGCUGUGAAAACUCGAGGCUCAACCUCGAGACGUCGGUUGAAACCACCUGGCUAGAGUCCGGAAGAGGAGAGUGGAAUUCCUGGUGUAGCGGUGAAAUGCGCAGAUAUCAGGAGGAACACCGAUUGCGAAGGCAGCUCGCUGGGACGUUACUGACGCUGAGACGCGAAAGCGUGGGGAGCAAACAGG